rnacentral:lncRNA from 1 species
CAUCGCCUUUGACAUUGUAGAGGUUAUUGUCCUUGACAAGGGCUAUUUCAGCGGAAUUCUGGGAACAACAGUACUUCAUUACAGUAGUCCAACAGAGUAAUUUGUAGGUGAGAGAGUGAAAACUAGCAGGUAUGGAUGAUUCUUUUGAGGUGUUCUGCUAUAAAGGGGAGCAGAGAAUUGGAAUAGCUGAAAGAAGAUGUGAGAUCGAGGGA